rnacentral:lncRNA from 1 species
UUUCCUUUUCAUCAUGGACGGCAGAUAAAACAAAUUCGCAUGCUCUUCCUGCACAAAGUUGUAUCAUCUUUAAAUGUUUCCUGCCUUUCCAGUUAACAUUUCAUACGCUCUGCUCCUCCAUCCUCAAACUAUGCUGACGUCCCAAGGUUCAACUAUCUCCUGUUGCCUUCAUAGUUCAAGUGAAGAUAUAGGUGUGUCUCUUGGUUCAAGAUGCCCACAUAACCUAUGUAUGGUCAGCCUCUGUGUCCAGCUUCUGAGACAGACGCUCCCUGGGAGACCUGGAGGGAUGUGAUCAAACACAUGCAAACUACAGGGGCUGAAAGUGAGAAAAGGUGGUUUUCAGAGGAAAAUCUUCAGUGUUAACAGACAAAGAGGGAAUGAUGGAUGAACAGGCAAAACCAGCAGCUGUCCGGUGUAGUGUGACUUAUAACUUUUACCCGGGCUGAUAAAUAAAUAAUGGCUGGAGUCAUUAUGAGUGACAGAAUUCUUGUUCUGCAGACACUAUAAAUCUGGAUAAAAUAAGCAAUUCUCUGCUGAGAUGAUAGAAGAAUCUAUCUUCCCACACUUCGGCAACAC